UACGUAGGGCCCAAGCGUUGUCCGGAGUUACUGGGCGUAAAGCGCGCGCAGGCGGCGGUGCUGGCCCGUCGUGAAAGCCCCCGGCUCAACCGGGGAGGGUCGUCGGGGACCGCACCGCUUGAGGGCGGUAGGGGCUGGUGGAAUGCCUGGUGUAGUGGUGAAAUGCGUAGAGAUCAGGCGGAACACCAGUGGCGAAGGCGGUUGCCUGGAGCUUUGCUGACGCUGAUGCGCGAAAGCGUGGGGAGCGAUCCGG
rnacentral:rRNA from 1 species